AUUGAACGCUGGCGGCGUGCUUAACACAUGCAAGUCGUGCGGUAACAGGCGUAGCAAUACGUGCUGACGAGCGGCGAACGGGUGCGUAAUACAUGGGAAUCUGCCCUUUAGUGGGGAAUAACCCGGCGAAAGCCGGGCUAAUGCCGCAUAAGAUCUUCGGAUGAAAGCGGGGGAUCGUAAGACCUCGCGCUGUUGGAUGAGCCCAUGUCGGAUUAGCUAGNGGUGAGGUAACGGCUCACCAAGGCGACGAUCCGUAGCUGGUCUGAGAGGACGGCCAGCCACACUGGGACUGAGACACGGCCCAGACUCCUACGGGAGGCAGCAGUGGGGAAUAUUGGACAAUGGGGAAACCCUGAUCCAGCGACGCCGCGUGUGUGAAGAAGGCCUGCGGGUUGU
rnacentral:rRNA from 1 species